AUUGAACGCUAGCGGGAUGCUUUACACAUGCAAGUCGAACGAGUGGCGGACGGGUGAGUAAUAUAUCUGCACCUGCCCCGUAGCGGGGGAUAACUACUCGAAAGAGUGGCUAAUACCGCAUACUAUUUGAGCUGCCGAUAGCGGAUUAGCUAGUGGGUGGGGUAAAGGCUCACCAAGGCCACGAUCCGUAGCUGGUUUGAGAGGACGACCAGCCACACUGGGACUGAGACACGGCCCAGAGUCUUACGGGAGGCAGAAGUGGGGAAUUUUGGACAAUGGGGGAAACCCUGAUACAGCCAUCCCGCGUGUAUGAGAAGGCCUGCGGGUUGUAAAGUACUUUUGGCAGAGAAGCGGUAUCUGCAGAAUAAGCACCGGCUAACGACGUGCCAGCCGCCGCGGUAAUAC
rnacentral:rRNA from 1 species